rnacentral:rRNA from 1 species
CCUACGGGAGGCAGCAGUAGGGAAUAUUGCACAAUGGGGGAAACCCUGAAGCAGCAACGCCGCGUGGAGGAUGAAGGUUUUCGGAUUGUAAACUCCUUUUGUUAGAGAAGAAAAUGACGGUAUCUAACGAAUAAGCACCGGCUAACUCCGUGCCAGCAGCCGCGGUAAUACGGAGGGUGCAAGCGUUACUCGGAAUCACUGGGCGUAAAGAGAGCGUAGGCGGGAUAGCAAGUCAGAUGUGAAAUCCUAUGGCUUAACCAUAGAACUGCAUUUGAAACUGUUAUUCUAGAGUAUGGGAGAGGGAGGUGGAAUUCUUGGUGUAGCGGUGAAAUCCGUAGAGAUCAAGAGGAAUACUCAUUGCGAAGGCGACCUGCUAGAACAUAACUGACGCUGAUGCGCGAAAGCGUGGGGAGCAAACAGGAUUAGAUACCCCAGUAGUC